GAAUUGUGGAAGGGCACUUGAACAUGUAGAUCUUCCAGAGUUUGCAAAAGGUCUCUCUUCAGAACAUGAUUUUGACCUCCAGGCUUUUUGCUUUGGUGCUGACAAAGAGUUAUUAAGACAACCUCGAGUNNNNNNNNUGGGUCUCAUUCAGAACUCCAUAGCUCUUCCAACAACUGCCCCUUUUUUGGAUCAAAAGAGGGCUAUUUUCCAGAAAUUGAAGCCAAUGAUUGAUGCUGCAGGUUCUUCAGGAGUGAACAUUUUAUGUUUGCAAGAAGCAUGGAUGAUGCCAUUUGCGUUCUGUACUCGUGAGAAGAGGUGGUGUGAAUUUGCAGAACAUGUGGAUGGGGAGUCAACACAAUUUCUUCAGGAAUAUGCACGAAAAUACAACAUGGUCAUCAUAAGUCCAAUUCUUGAAAGAGAUGUGAAUCAUGGGGAGACUCUCUGGAAUACUGCUAUUAUAAUUGGAAAUCAUGGGAACAUAAUCGGCAAGCAUCGAAAGAACCAUAUACCUAGAGUUGGUGACUUCAAUGAAAGCACAUAUUAUAUGGAAGGAAAUACUGGACAUCCCGUGUUUGAGACUGCUUAUGGAAAGAUUGCUGUUAAUAUAUGCUA
rnacentral:misc_RNA from 1 species